rnacentral:SRP_RNA from 1 species
GUCGGGUGCGGUGGCGCGUGCCUGUAAUCCAAGCUACCGGGAGGCUGAGGUUGGAGGAUCGUUUGAGCUCAGGAGCUCUGAGCUGCAGCGGACUAUGCCGAUCGGGUGUCCGCACUAAGUUCGGCAUCGAUAUGGUGAUCCUGGGGGAGCCCGGGGCCACCAGGUCGUCUAAAGAGGGGUGCACCGGCCCAGGUCGGAGACGAAGCAGGUCAAAGCCCCCGUGUCGCUCAGUAGUGGGAUCGCGCCUGUGAAUAGACGCUGCAGUUCAGCCUGAGCAAUACAGCGAGACCCAAUCUUU